rnacentral:tRNA from 2 species
GCCUAGCUGGCUCAGUUGGUAGAGCAUAUGACUCUUGAUCUUGGGGUCGUGGGUUCAAACCCCAUGUUGGGUA